GAUCCCUAUGUACCUGAGCUUUUCCAAAGCUUGUCUGGUUGUUUCCAUUACCAAAGUCUAUGUUCCAGAGAAAAAUCAAGCUCCCUGGCAACCAUGCAAUUUUCACAUGAAAAUUCAGCCUUCCUGCUUUUGCUGACCAGCAAAUCUGAUACUAUGAAAAAGAAGCAGAUUUCUGAUGCUGAAGGACACCGUUGUCAUGUUUCUUCACUUCUUCUAGCUGAAUCAUUGGGAAUUGUACUUGUUUUUCAAACCAUUUGGCUACUGUGAGCAGCUGCUUCUCUUGGAAUGAACGCCCAAUGAACUGAAGCCCAAUUGGCAAGCCUCGUCCUGAAAGAGCUGUAGGAACAUUUACGGCUGGCAGUCCUGAAACAAAAGAAGUUAUUCACACAAAGGCUUGCUAUUAAACAAAUCCAGUUAGAGUCAUUUUUGUAACAAUUCUGAGAGAACCAGAGCAGUUCAGUAGCAUUUUAAAAUCUACCCCUACAUUAUGAAUCAUUUUACAAAUGUCCACUGUACUUAUGUACAGAGUUGUUAACUUUCCAUUGUAAGUUAACAAGAGGGGGGAGGUAUCUCAAUUCUAUGUAAGAGGUUAAAAGGUUGAAGGGAAUGGAUGUUACAGGCAGGAGAAAACACAGUUGAACUCCUGCCCCUGCUCACCAGCCAUGUUUGCAGCCUGUGUUAGGAUGUCAUCUUCCGUGCUGCGGGUUCUGUUGUCUUCUUUGAUGAAUUCCAUAUACGGGAGUGCAUCGCUCAGAGUGGUAGGAGUGAGUAAAAUAUCAAUACCACUUCCAAAAACCUUCACAAAGUCAUUGGCAAUGAGACGUCUGACUUUCUGUGCCUUGACAAAGUAAUCCUCAUAAUUCCUAGAAAGAAAUAGGGGUGUGAGGGUGGAAUGCUACGAUUCUGAAAAUACACAACAAUUGCUUAGUUACCAUAGAAAAGAUAAGCUCUAUAUUCCUCCUGAUUAAGAGGCUAACAUGUAUUUGAGUUUCUCAUAUACCACAAGCUUAGUCACCAAACACAGUGCUUACGCUCUCAUAGCCACAAAGACGUCAGAGAAAGAAGACACAAGAAAAUUCUGUUGAAGAAAGGUGAAGGGAAAACAAAACCCCAGUUUAAAAUAGCUGAGGAUCAGAAUAAUGCUAUAUGGCCUUUCUGGAACUAAACUGUAUAUUGGAUUUCACUGCAGAAAGGCACAGUAAAGUCUAGAAAUACUAUAGAAGCAAAGCAGGUUUGCAAAAUAGGCGUUAAGCUCUAGGAUUCAAUCCAGCUAGACACUUAAUGAAUGUGAAAAACUCCUAUAAUCUCUGCAGACAUCCAAAUGGACUUGAAACCAAGAAUGUGUUUCUAGUACGCUUCUUACUAAACUAUGCUCUUUCCUCUAUUUUUUUUCCCUAUAUUAGUGUUGGGUUUAUGGCUUUCUAAACUGUCUUUAUGCUAUCCUGAAGCAGAAACAAAUCAGUUAGCUUUAUAUUUAUUGUUCUUUUUAAUUUCACAUGUAGAACUGGCAAACAUGUAACAGAAUUCAUAACUUCAGAGUUUAGUUUCAAAAGCAAUCACCAACAGUUACUCUUUAAAAAAAAAUUAAAAUGCUGAUAAAUCAAACCUACUCUGUUAAUUCUGAUGCAGUGACUAUAAACAACCAUCAAUGCAUGAAUGAUCACAUAG